GACGAACGCUGGCGGCGUGCUUAACACAUGCAAGUCGAACGGUGAAGCGCCUUCCUUUUUGGUGGGUGUGGAUGAGUGGCGAACGGGUGAGUAACACGUGAGUAACCUGCCCCCAUCUUCUGGAUAACCGCGUGAAAGUGUGGCUAAUACGGGAUAUUCUGGGUCUGUCGCAUGAUGGGUCUGGGAAAGAUAUUGUUUCGGUGGGGGAUGGGCUCGCGGCCUAUCAGCUUGUUGGUGGGGUGAUGGCCUACCAAGGCGGUGACGGGUAGCCGGCCUGAGAGGGUGGACGGUCACACUGGGACUGAGACACGGCCCAGACUCCUACGGGAGGCAGCAGUGGGGAAUAUUGCACAAUGGGCGCAAGCCUGAUGCAGCGACGCCGCGGGAGGGAUGGAGGCCUUCGGGUUGUGAACCUCUUUCGCCAGUGAAGCAGGCCUGCCUCGUUUGUGGGUGGGUUGACGGUAGCUGGAUAAGAAGCGCCGGCUAACUACGUG
rnacentral:rRNA from 1 species